rnacentral:rRNA from 1 species
AACGAACGCUGGCGGCAGGCCUAACACAUGCAAGUCGAACGCCCUAGCAAUAGGGAGUGGCGCACGGGUGCGUAACGCGUGGGAAUAUGCCCUUCACUGCGGAAUAACGUUUGGAAACGAACGCUAAUACCGCAUAAUGACUCCGGUCCAAAGAUUUAUCGGUGAAGGAUUAGCCCGCGUUAGAUUAGCUAGUUGGUGAGGUAAUGGCUCACCAAGGCGACGAUCUAUAGCUGGUCUGAGAGGAUGAUCAGCCACACUGGGACUGAGACACGGCCCAGACUCCCUACGGGAGGCAGCAGUGAGGAAUAUUGGACAAUGGGCGCAAGCCUGAUCCAGCCAUGCCGCGUGAGUGAAGAAGG